CAUACACAACCCAAUCGCCCAUACAUCACAAUACAUACACUCACACACUCAUACACAACCCAAUCGCCCAUACAUCACAAUACAUACACUCACACACUCAUACACAGCCCAACUGCCGAUACAUCACAAUACAUACACUCAUACACUCAUACACAGCCCAACUGCCGAUACAUCACAAUACAUACACUCACACACUCAUACACAGCCCAACUGCCGAUACAUCACAAUACAUACACUCAUACACUCAUACACAGCCCAACUGCCCAUACAUCACAAUACAUAC